GUGCCAGCCGCCGCGGUAAUACGUAGGGUGCGAGCGUUGUCCGGAAUUACUGGGCGUAAAGAGCUCGUAGGUGGUUUGUCGCGUCGUCUGUGAAAUUCUGGGGCUUAACUCCGGGCGUGCAGGCGAUACGGGCAUAACUUGAGUGCUGUAGGGGUAACUGGAAUUCCUGGUGUAGCGGUGAAAUGCGCAGAUAUCAGGAGGAACACCGAUGGCGAAGGCAGGUUACUGGGCAGUUACUGACGCUGAGGAGCGAAAGCAUGGGUAGCGAACAGGAUUAGAUACCCUGGUAGUCAAGGGCGAAUUCGUU
rnacentral:rRNA from 1 species